rnacentral:lncRNA from 1 species
CAAAAAACGGGUGGGCUAUAGCCUUGGUGGGGGACGUGGGCGAAGUUCGUCCGCCGGACUCGGAAUGGCUACAGACUUUGCGGGCGGCCUCCGUGUGCCAAAAAUAGGCCUCGGGCACAGCCGCGCCCAAAAAUCAGCCCCCGAAGGUCGGGGUGCCAAGACCCCCCAGCGGAAAAAUGGCCAAAAAACGGGUGGGCUAUAGCCUUGGUGGGGGGCGUGGGCGAAGUUCGUCCGCCGGACUCGGAAUGGCCCCAGACUUUGCGGGCGGCCUCCGUGUGCCAAAAAUAGGCCACGGGCACACCCGCGCCCAAAAAUCAGCCCCCGAAGGUCCGGGCGCCAAGACCCCCCAGCGGAAAAAUGGCCAAAAAACGGGUGGGCUAUAGCCUUGGUGGGGGGCGUGGGCGAAGUUCGUCCGCCGGACUCGGAAUGGCCCCAGACUUUGCGGGCGGCCUCCGUGUGCCAAAAAUAGGCCACGGGCACACCCGCGCCCAAAAUUCAGCCCCCGAAGGUCGGGGCGCCAAGACCCCCCAGCGGAAAAAUGGCCAAAAAACGGGAGGGCUAUACCCUUGGUGGGGGGCGUGGGCGAAGUUCGUCCGCCGGACUCGGAAUGGCCCCAGACUUUGCGGGCGGCCUCCGUGUGCCAAAAAUAGGCCACGGGCACACCCGCGCCCAAAAAUCAGCCCCCGAAGGUCGGGGCGCCAAGACCCCCCAGCGGAAAAAUGGCCAAAAAACGGGUGGGCUAUAGCCUUGGUGGGGGGCGUGGGCGAAGUUCGUCCGCCGGACUCGGAAUGGCCCCAGACUUUGCGGGCGGCCUCCGUGUGCCAAAAUAGGCCACGGGCACACCCGCGCCCAAAAUUCAGCCCCCGAAGGUCGGGGCGCCAAGACCCCCCAGCGGAAAAAUGGCCAAAAAACGGGUGGGCUAUAGCCUUGGUGGGGGGCGUGGGCGAAGUUCGUCCGCCAGACUCGGAAUGGCCCCAGACUUUGCGGGCGGCCUCCGUGUGCCAAAAAUAGGCCACGGGAACAGCCGCGCCCAAAAUUCAGCCCCCGAAGGUCGGGGCGCCAAGACCCCCCAGCGGAAAAAUGGCCAAAAAACGGGUGGGCUAUAGCCUUGGUGGGGGGCGUGGGCGAAGUUCGUCCGCCGGACUCGGAAUGGCCCCAGACUUUGCGGGCGGCCUCCGUGUGCCAAAAAUAGGCCACGGGCACACCCGCGCCCAAAAAUCAGCCCCCGAAGGUCGGGGCGCCAAGACCCCCCUGCGGAAAAAUGGCCAAAAAACGGGAGGGCUAUAGCCUUGGUGGGGGGCGUGGGCGAAGUUCGUCCGCCGGACUCGGAAUGGCCCCAGACUUUGCGGGCGGCCUCCGUGUGCCAAAAAUAGGCCACGGGCACACCCGCGCCCAAAAUUCAGCCCCCGAAGGUCGGGGGCCAAGAGCCCCCAGCGGAAAAAUGGCCAAAAAACGGGUGGGCUAUAGCCUUGGUGGGGGACGUGGGCGAAGUUCGUCCGCCGGACUCGGAAUGGCCCCAGACUUUGCGGGCGGCCUCCGUGUGCCAAAAAUAGGCCACGGGCACAGCCGCGCCCAAAAAACAGCCCCCGAAGUCCGGGGUCCCAAGACCCCCCAGCGGAAAAAUGGCCAAAAAACGGGUGGGCUAUAGCCUUGGUGGGGGGCGUGGGCGAAGUUCGUCCGCGGGACUCGGAAUGGCACCAGACUUGGCGGGCGGCCUCCGUGUGCCAAAAAUAGGCCACGGGCACAGCCGCGCCCAAAAAACAGCCCCCGAAGGUCGGGGCGCCAAGACCCCCCAGCGGAAAAAUGGCCAAAAAACGGGUGGGCUAUAGCCUUGGUGGGGGGCGUCGGCGAAGUUCGUCCGCCGGACUCGGAAUGGCCCCAGACUUUGCGGGCGGCCUCCGUGUGCCAAAAAUAGGCCACGGGCACACCCGCGCCCAAAAAUCAGCCCCCGAAGGUCGGGGCGCCAAGACCCCCCAGCGGAAAAAUGGCCAAAAAACGGGAGGGCUAUAGCCUUGGUGGGGGGCGUGGGCGAAGUUCGUCCGCCGGACUCGGAAUGGCCCCAGACUUUGCGGGCGGCCUCCGUGUGCCAAAAAUAGGCCACGGGCACACCCGCGCCCAAAAUUCAGCCCCCGAAGGUCGGGGGCCAAGAGCCCCCAGCGGAAAAAUGGCCAAAAAACGGGUGGGCUAUAGCCUUGGUGGGGGACGUGGGCGAAGUUCGUCCGCCGGACUCGGAAUGGCCCCAGACUUUGCGGGCGGCCUCCGUGUGCCAAAAAUAGGCCACGGACACAGCCGCGUCCAAAAAUCAGCCCCCGAAGGUCGGGGUGCCAAGACCCCCCAGCGGAAAAAUGGCCAAAAAACGGGUGGGCUAUAGCCUUGGUGGGGGGCGUGGGCGAAGUUCGUCCGCCGGACUCGGAAUGGCCCGAGACUUUGCGGGCGGCCUCCAUGUGCCAAAAAUAGGCCACGGGCACAGCCGCGCCCAAAAAUCAGCCCCCGAAGGUCGGGGCGCCAAGACCCCCCAGCGGAAAAAUGGCCAAAAAACGGGUGGGCUAUAGCCUUGGUGGGGGGCGUGGGCGAAGUUCGUCCGCCGGACUCGGAAUGGCCCCAGACUUUGCGGGCGGCCUCCGUGUGCCAAAAAUAGGCCACGGGCACACCCGCGCCCAAAAAUCAGCCCCCAAAGGUCGGGGCGCCAAGACCCCCCAGCGGAAAAAUGGCCAAAAAACGGGUGGGCUAUAGCCUUGGUGGGGGGCGUGGGCGAAGUUCGUCCGCCGGACUCGGAAUGGCCCCAGACUUUGCGGGCGGCCUCCGUGUGCCAAAAAUAGGCCACGGACACACCCGCGCCCAAAAUUAAGCCCCCGAAGGUCGGGGCGCCAAGACCUCACAGCGGAAAAAUGGCCAAAAAACGGGUGGGCUAUAGCCUUGGUGGGGGGCGUGGGCGAAGUUCGUCCGCCGGACUCGGAAUGGCCCCAGACUUUGCGGGCGGCCUCCGUGUGCCAAAAAUAGGCCACGGGCACACCCGCGCCCAAAAAUCAGCCCCCGAAGGUCGGGGCGCCAAGACCCCCCAGCGGAAAAAUGGCCAAAAAACGGGUGGGCUAUAGCCUUGGUGGGGGGCGUGGGCGAAGUUCGUCCGCCGGACUCGGAAUGGCCCCAGACUUUGCGGGCUGCCUCCGUGUGUCAAAAAUAGGCCACGGGCACACCCGCGCCCAAAAUUCAGCCCCCGAAGGUCGGGGCGCCAAGACCCCCCAGCGGAAAAAUGGCCAAAAAACGGGUGGGCUAUAGCCUUGGUGGGGGGCGUGGGCGAAGUUCGUCCGCCGGACUCGGAAUGGCCCCAGACUUUGCGGGCUGCCUCCGUGUGCCAAAAAUAGGCCACGGGCACACCCGCGCCCAAAAUUCAGCCCCCGAAG